GGAAUCUUCCGCAAUGGGCGAAAGCCUGACGGAGCAACGCCGCGUGAGUGAUGAAGGUUUUCGGAUCGUAAAGCUCUGUUGCCAAGGAAGAACGUCUUCUAGAGUAACUGCUAGGAGAGUGACGGUACUUGAGAAGAAAGCCCCGGCUAACUACGUGCCAGCAGCCGCGGUAAUACGUAGGGGGCAAGCGUUGUCCGGAAUUAUUGGGCGUAAAGCGCGCGCAGGCGGUUCUUUAAGUCUGGUGUUUAAACCCGAGGCUCAACUUCGGGUCGCACUGGAAACUGGGGAACUUGAGUGCAGAAGAGGAGAGUGGAAUUCCACGUGUAGCGGUGAAAUGCGUAGAUAUGUGGAGGAACACCAGUGGCGAAGGCGACUCUCUGGGCUGUAACUGACGCUGAGGCGCGAAAGCGUGGGGAGCAAACAGGA
rnacentral:misc_RNA from 1 species